rnacentral:rRNA from 1 species
UACGUAGGUGACAAGCGUUGUCCGGAUUUAUUGGGUUUAAAGGGUGCGUAGGCGGCCUAUUAAGUCAGUGCUGAAAUAUCCCGGCUUAACCGGGAGGGUGGCAUUGAUACUGAUGGGCUUGAGUAGAGUUGAGGUUGGCGGAAUUGACGGUGUAGCGGUGAAAUGCUUAGAUAUCGUCAAGAACACCUAUUGCGAAGGCAGCUAACUAAGCUCAAACUGACGCUGAGGCACGAAAGUGUGGGGAUCAAACAGG